GCGGCUGUGGGGUUUGUGGAGGGGUUUUGGGGCGGUUUGGGAUGUUCCAUGCGGCUUUGGGGGUCUCACUGGUUUGGGGGUCUCAGUGCUCCCUUGCCCCUCAGCUUUUCCCUCCAUUUUGUGCUGCAGUUUCCUUCGGUUUUUCCUGACACUUUGCCCCAUUUUUGCCUCUGGCUUUUCUCUCCAGCUUCUUUCUUUUCACUCAUUUUUCUCUCAGUUUAUUUUUUUAUUUUUCUUUUCAGUUUUUCUCCCCUUUUUUUUCCUUCUCCUCUUAAUUUUCUUCUUUUCCUUUCACACUUUCCUCUCCUUUUCUCCUCAGUUUUUCCCUCCUUUCCUCCCUGGCACUUUUGCCUCAUUUCCCUCUUUUCUCCUCACACUUUCCCCCAUUUCCUCCCCACCCUUUUCCAUUUCUUUCUCACAUUUUUCCUUCCUUUCCCUCUUCUUUUUCUCUCACUUUUCUCCCCAGUUCCCCAUCGGGGUUUUCCCUUUCUGUUUUCACUUUCACACUUUAUCCCGUUCCCACUGUUUUCUCCUCAUUCUCACUGUUGUUUUUUUCCUCAUUCCCACUGUUUUGUUUUCUCCCCAUUCCCACUCUUCUCUCCUCACACAUUUCCCAAUUUCACCUGCUUUUCCCUCUUUCCCGUCGCUCUCCAGGACCCCCAGGGAGGCCUUUCGCCCUCUCAUCCCGCUCAUUUUGGGGCUCUUUGUGGCAUUUUGGAGUGUCCCCCAGACGCUGGGGACGUUCCCGUGGGGGGGUCUCAGAUCUCUCCACGUUUCCUGGGUGGUUUUGGGGUGUCCCCCUGGGAUUGUCCCUGCUCCCCGCCGGCGGUGCUUGCUGUUUUCGGGGCGGGGGUCUCCCCGUUACCCACCGUGGGUCGGGGGGCUGCCGGCGCUGAACCAGGCCAGGAAGCCCCUGCCGGCCGUGGCGCCGUCGCUCUCCAUGUGCAGGCGCAGGCGGUUUUGGGGCGCCCGCAGCGCCCCGGGCCGGAAGGUGCCGCAGAAGCGCCCCAGGAGCGGCGCGGCGGGGCCGUGGCCCCCGAACACGGAGAGCGCGUCGAAGCGGCACCGCGGGUCCGGCUCCAGGUCGAACACGCGGAAGGACAGCGUGGCCACCUGGCCCUCGGGCACCUGGGGACACGGAGGGUCACCACCGGGACCGGGGGGACACUGGGGUGACACCAGCUGGCCCUCAGAUGACUCUUUGGGGUGACACCACCUGGUCUUCGCAGACCCAGGGGGACAUUGAAGGGCCAGGAUGGACAUCAGGGGACAUCAGCAGCAAUAUUGGGGACAACGGCGUGUCACCA
rnacentral:lncRNA from 1 species